rnacentral:rRNA from 1 species
AGAAUCAACGCUGGCGGCGUGCCUAACACAUGCAAGUCGAGCGCGAAAGGGGGGCAACUCCCCAAGUAGAGCGGCGAACGGGUGAGUAACGCGUGGGUAAUCUACCUCCGAGUGGGGAAUAACAGCGGGAAACUGCUGCUAAUACCGCAUGACAUCGUCGAGCCUUCGGGCCAGACGAUCAAAGCCGGGGACCGCAAGGCCUGGCGCUUGGAGAGGAGCCCGCGUCCGAUUAGCUAGUUGGCGGGGUAAUGGCCCACCAAGGCUCCGAU